UACGGAGGGUGCAAGCGUUACUCGGAUUUACUGGGCGUAAAGCGCGUGUAGGUGGUUCUUUAAGUCUGAUGUGAAAGCCCUGGACUCAAUCUGGGAAGUGCAUUGGAUACUGAAGAGCUCGAGUGCAGGAGAGGAAAGCGGAAUUCCAGGUGUAGAGGUGAAAUUCGUAGAUAUCUGGAGGAACAACAGAGGCGAAGGCGGCUUUCUGGACUGCAACUGACACUGAGACGCGACAGCGUGGGGAGCAAACAGG
rnacentral:rRNA from 1 species